UACAGAGGGGGCAAGCGUUGUUCGGAAUUACUGGGCGUAAAGGGCGCGUAGGCGGCUUGGCAAGUGGAAGGUGAAAUCCCUCGGCUCAACCGAGGAACUGCCUUCUAAACUGCUUUGAUUGAGUCCGGGAGAGGUCAGUGGAAUUCCCAGUGUAGCGGUGAAAUGCGUAGAUAUUGGGAGGAACACCAGUGGCGAAGGCGGCUGACUGGACCGGUACUGACGCUGAGGCGCGAAAGCGUGGGGAGCAAACGGG
rnacentral:rRNA from 1 species